rnacentral:tRNA from 1 species
GCUUUAUAAGUUUUUGUAGAAUGCGACUUUGAAGGAGUUGAGGUUUAUUAGGGCG